CCUUAUCGGCAUUCUACAACAAAACGAUCGUCAGCUGCCCAACUUGCAGUUGUAGUUGUCAGAGGAAUGUAACACCAGGAAGCUGCAUUCGGUAAGUUCACAGUCAAACUUAUCAAAACAAUGAAGUUGUUAGGUUCAUUCACGUAUUUGCAUAUUUUAGAGAGGAUUCACCAUACCUGAUGCAAUCAAAUAUCAACGGACCUGGAAAAGAUAUCCACACCCCAUUGGUGCAAUGCACUAGACAUAUGUGCCCGAUAAAAGUGCACUGGCAUAUCAAAGAAAGCUACAAACAGUACUGGCGAGUAAAGAUCACAAUCACAAAUUUCAACUAUGGGAUGAAUUACUCACAAUGGAAUAUCGUCGCACAGCACCCCAAUUUCAAUAACUUGACUCAGUUGUUUAGUUUCAACUACAAAUCCUUAAUUCC
rnacentral:lncRNA from 1 species